rnacentral:lncRNA from 1 species
AUGGGGCGCACAUGCCAGCCGGCACAGCCGCGCAGCGCUGCCCCAGGAAGCCUGCGUCUGUUUGGCGGGGCGGGAGCCGCGGGUCCCCAGAGCCCGCCGACACUUCCCGGCCAACGCGCCCAACCAGGGUGCCCGUGCACGCUAAUGAGGCGGUCUAGAUCGGCUUCACACACGAUCGCUCCAAGUAUUCAGGAACUUACCGGGCUGCGGAAUGAUGGGGUACAGCUCCCGGGGGACCGCCCCCCACCCCAGCAGAGGGGCCUUGGCCUCCAGGUACCGGGUGCUCACAGCCCCAGGGAUGACUUCAUUCCUCUUCACCAGAGAUUGCUCCAGGGAUGGACAUGUGACCAUUCUUGCCAGAAGCUUCUGGUGCUGCUGGACCCUCCUUUAUCCUGCUUGAUAAGAGACAGACUCACAAGGAAAAAGCUCUUUCCUUCUGUGCUACUUUUUGUUCAUUGGAUACGGUCAUGGGAGACAGCCUUCAUGUGUCAGUGAGGCAAAAAAUAUCAUUGGCAUGACACUAGGAUGUUAUGAAGAAGGACAGGAAAAAACACUUUUGGCCACAUAUUUUUAUCACCUGUGGUUGGAACGUAUCCGAACUGAUACAGCUUCCUUUGAAUUUGUCAGUUGCCUCCUGGUCAUCAAU